rnacentral:rRNA from 1 species
CCUACGGGAGGCAGCAGUGGGGAAUAUUGGGCAAUGGAGGAAACUCUGACCCAGCGACGCCGCGUGCGGGAUGAAGGCCUUCGGGUUGUAAACCGCUUUCAGCAGGGAAGAAGCGAAAGUGACGGUACCUGCAGAAGAAGCACCGGCUAACUAUGUGCCAGCAGCCGCGGUAAUACAUAGGGUGCAAGCGUUGUCCGGAAUUAUUGGGCGUAAAGAGCUCGUAGGUGGUUCGUCACGUCGGAUGUGAAAAUCUGGGGCUUAACCCCAGACCUGCAUUCGAUACGGGCGAGCUUGAGUAUGGUAGGGGAGUCUGGAAUUCCUGGUGUAGCGGUGGAAUGCGCAGAUAUCAGGAGGAACACCAAUGGCGAAGGCAGGACUCUGGGCCAUUACUGACACUGAGGAGCGAAAGCGUGGGGAGCGAACAGGAUUAGAUACCCUGGUAGUCCACGCCGUAAACGGUGGGCACUAGUUGUGGGGACCUUCCACGGUCUCUGCGACGCNGCUACGCAUAGUGCCCGCCGUCGGGAGGUACGAGUCGCGAAGAAUUAAACUAACGAAAGAAGUUAGACGGCGUGAGACGUGCCGAACGGACGACGACGAGGGAGGAGG